GAUGAACGCUGGCGGCGUGCCUAAUACAUGCAAGUCGAGCGAACAGAUGAGAAGCUUGCUUCUCUGAUGUUAGCGGCGGACGGGUGAGUAACACGUGGGUAACCUACCUAUAAGACUGGGAUAACUCCGGGAAACCGGGGCUAAUACCGGAUAAUAUUUUGAACCGCAUGGUUCAAUAGUGAAAGACGGUUUCGGCUGUCACUUAUAGAUGGACCCGCGCCGUAUUAGCUAGUUGGUAAGGUAACGGCUUACCAAGGCGACGAUACGGAGCCGACCUGAGAGGGUGAUCGGCCACACUGGAACUGAGACACGGUCCAGACUCCUACGGGAGGCAGCAGUAGGGAAUCUUCCGCAAUGGGCGAAAGCCUGACGGAGCAAUGCCGCGUGAGUGAAGAAGGCCUUCGGGUCGUAAAACUCUGUUAUAAGAGAAGAACAAAUUGUAGAGUAACUGCUACAGUCUUGACGGUAUCUUAUCAGAAAGCCACGGCUAACUACGUGCCAGCAGCCGCAGUAA
rnacentral:rRNA from 1 species